rnacentral:rRNA from 1 species
CACGUAGGGGGCAAGCGUUGUCCGGAUUUAUUGGGCGUAAAGAGCUCGUAGGUGGUUCGGUAAGUCAGGUGUGAAACCUCCAGGCUCAACCUGGAGACGCCACUUGAUACUGCUGUGACUGGAGUCCGGUAGGGGAGCGUGGAAUUCCUGGUGUAGCGGUGAAAUGCGUAGAUAUCAGGAGGAACAUCGAUGGCGAAGGCAGCCCCUUGGACCUGUACUGACGCUCAUGCACGAAAGCGUGGGGAGCAAACAGG